rnacentral:tRNA from 1 species
GGGUGGGUGGCUCAGUGGUUAGAGCUUAGGCCUUGGGAGCGAAUGGUCCCGGGAUCGAAUCUCGUAAGAAACA